CUUGGAUUUAGUCACAAUUUCUACGCAGCUUUCCAGAGCGAUGGAAGACCCGACAGCCGGGUGUCCUGAGCAAGUUAAAGAAAGCUUACUCUAAAAUUAUGCACGUUACUGACGCAUAAUUUUACCACUUAAAAACAGAAUGCCCUCAGAAAGGUUUUAAUAAGAAAACAGAAAUACACCUCCCCAUUUGUGCACAUUGACUCUGAACAAAAAAGCGGCUGCUGCGAUCUAUCUAAACAGUCCACACACACCCUGGGAUCGCUUUCUGGCUUAUUUCUUGUAAGACUGGUGUGAAAGCUAAAUACUACUGUGCUU